UUGAAGUUGACAAAAGAACAGUUAACAAAACAUAUGUUCGAAAGUUGAACAGAUGUUGACUAAAGGAUGUACAAAGUACAGUUACCAAAAUGCAGAAGCAAACUUUCAAAGAAUGAAGGAUGAUCAUUUGUUAGUUUUCUAGAAAUGUUUCUCCCACAGAAGUGCCAUCCUUAAUGAAUACAGCAGGAUAACCAAGUGGAGCUUCUACCCAGGCUUCAGAACCUUGUUCCGUGAAUAGCUUUCCUGACCAGAUAUGUUUCCAGGGAUAAGUUUCACCCUCUGGAAAAUAGGCCUUGACAUUUUGCUUGCCCUUGUCUAGAACAGGCACCACUAGUAUUUCAGUACCAAUUAAGAAUUGCUGGUAACUCAAGUUGUGCACAUGCCUAUCAUUUGGAUAGUGGAGAAAAAGGUGGCGGCAAAUGGGGAGGCCUUUCUGGGAUGCUUCCUGUUUUCAAAGAACAAGGAAUGAGAGAUUUGUUAGAUUCUCCAUUCAAGUUAACUGAAUUGAAGUGAAAAUUAGACAAAUUAAUCUCACAUAUUACCUUCACUAGUUGGCUUCUGUAGAAAUACCAAGCUUUAUACAUUUUAGCACAGCGUGCAAAAAGUGAUAAAGUUCUCUGAUUCGAGUAGAAUUGGCUGUUGCAAGUUGGCUUGUUUCCCUGCUUGGUGAAUAUAAUUGGAAUGAGCAAACUGUAAGAUCAUAUAAAUCAUUGUCCUCUAGUGAAGCAAUAAUAAUAGUUUGAUAUACAGAAAUGCAA